CUUAAACUACAUCAUGCAGCUCUGACUGGCCUGGAACUCUGUCUGUAGACCAGACGGGUCUCAAAUUCACAGCCACACACCUGCCUUUGCCUCCUCAAUGCUGGUCUCUUUCACAACGAUUAUUUUUUCAUAGUUUUUGCUGCUGGAAUCCAACACACCACCUUGAGCAUGCUAGGUAAGCUUCCUACCGCCAUCUAAUUACCAGCUCUACUACUAUUCACUUAUUUAUAAAACAUUCUUUUCUGUGUAUGAAUGUUUUGCCUGCAUAUGUUUGUGUAUCAUUUGUAUGCAGUGCCCUCUGAGGCCAGGAGGAGGUGUGGGAUCCUAUUACAGACAGUUGUGAGCUGUCAUGCAGAUGCUGAGAAUUGAACCUGCUUCUUGGAACGGCAGCCAGUGCUUUGAACUGCGGUGUCCUCUCUCCAGUGCUUUGAACUGUGGUGCCCUCUCUCUAGUGCUUUGAACUGCGGUGCCCUCUCUCCAGUGCUUUGAACUGCCGUGUCCUCUCUCCAGUGCUUUGAACUGCGGUGCCCUCUCUCCAGUGCUUUGAACUGCGGUGCCCUCUCUCCAGUGCUUUGAACUGUGGUGCCCUCUCUCCAGUGCUUUGAACUGCGGUGCCCUCUCUCUAGUGCUUUGAACUGCUGUGUCCUCUCUCCAGUGCUUUGAACUGCGGCGUCCUCUCUCCAGUGCUUUGAACUGCCGUGUCCUCUCUCCAGUGCUUUGAACUGCGGCGUCCUCUCUCCAGUGCUUUGAACUGCUGUGUCCUCUCUCUAGUGCUUUGAACUGCUGUGCCCUCUCUCCAGUGCUUUGAACUGCGGCGUCCUCUCUCCAGUGCUUUGAACUGCCGUGUCCUCUCUCCAGUGCUUUGAACUUCGGUGCCCUCUCUCCAGUGCUUUGAACUGCGGUGCCCUCUCUCCAGUGCUUUGAACUGUGGUGCCCUCUCUUGAGUGCUUUGAACUGCGGUGUCCUCUCUCCAGUGCUUUGAACUGCUGUGUCCUCUCUCCAGUGCUUUGAACUGCUGUGUCCUCUCUCCAGUGCUUUGAACUGCUGUGUCCUCUCUCUAGUGCUUUGAACUGCGGUGCCCUCUCUCCAGUGCUUUGAACUGUGGUGCCCUCUCUCGAGUGCUUUGAACUGCCGUGUCCUCUCUCCAGUGCUUUGAACUGUGGUGCCCUCUCUCCAGUGCUUUAAACUGCGGCGUCCUCUCUCCAGUGCUUUGAACUGCUGUGUCCUCUCUCUAGUGCUUUGAACUGCUGUGCCCUCUCUCCAGUGCUUUGAACUGCGGUGCCCUCUCUCCAGUGCUUUGAACUGCCGUGUCCUCUCUCCAGACUCCCUAUUUUCUUUUAAAGUUUGAUUGUUGACAUUAUUUUCUAUUCCAGGCCCACUGUAAUUAGAAAUAAUGUGUGUGGGGUUCAGGAGAUGCUCAGAGGUAAAGAGCACAGUUGUUCUUGCAGAGGACCUGGAUCCAGGCCCCAGCACCCACAUCUGGUAGCUCAGAACCCACUAUUACUCCAGUUCUUGGGGUUCUGACAUCUAUGGGCCUUGGUAGAUACCUGUACAAACAGACAAACAUACAGUUAGAAAUAUGUUUUAAAAAUCUAUACCUGUCUUUAAAGGGUGGACUUCCUUGAGCUGUUGGUCACAAGAAUACAGGCAACUGCCACUGAUGUUGGUUGCCCACCGGAGCUGGAAGGUGGCUGAUGAUUUCAUACGCCUUGUUCGCCAGACAUACAGAAACUCAAGUGGAACUGAGCUGGAGGCUUCAUCUCUGCUGGCUCACGUUUCCAGUGGGAGCUAUGCAGGCUGCAGCGGGAGAACUGUCAGCCACAGUCUCACUCAGCAGUGAAUUCUGGGUGCAAACACUACAGACCAGCCAGAGAUGUGCCUACUUGUACAGCAGGGGCAAGUCUAUUAUGGGGGACAACCCACUGUUUUCUGACUGGAUUUGAGGCCUGCUCAACACGAGGCAAUUCCUGUCUGACACUGUACUCUGGUCAAAAGCCCAUGGCUGGGGAAGUCAUAGGCCCUAAUGGGGAAGCCACUGAUGUGUU
rnacentral:lncRNA from 1 species